GUUUUACCUGAAGGCUGCUUUAAUGCCAGCAAAGGCGGUCAUAAGGAAAAGAGGGCGGGAGACCCCAUAUUGAAUGUACCCGGGUUUCAGAUUGCUGAAAACUGCUGGUGUCUCUAGCAUCUUCUUUAUGCCUGGCUUCUCACCCCAAACCAAGCAUUUGUAAAUGCUGAAGAGGAAAGCAGAAUGCAAAAUAUUGGAUUCAACUUAGUGAGCUGCUUUUUCCUCUGGGACAUCGGUACGUAGAGUCUUGACUGCCAUUUCAGCUUUCUGAUGCCUUCAAGUAGAUAUGCCAAAAAAUUUUAGCUAGAUGUACUAGU
rnacentral:lncRNA from 1 species